rnacentral:lncRNA from 1 species
UGUUCCCUCAAACCCCUGGAACACCACACAGAGAACUAUCUCCAGGCCUGGACUUCCCCUGACUUGGAGACAGCCUUAUUCUCAGAUCUCUCUCUCUUUUAAAAUGGACUAUCCUCUUUACAACCCAGAGAGCCCCAUCCAAAGAUCACUCAUUGUGGAAGAAAUCUGAUGCCAUGUCUUGAGGACACUCAAGUGGCCUAUGGAGAGGCGAACACCUCCACUCCCAGCCCAGCAUUCAGAUGGCUGAGAAAGACAAGAAACCCAAUCUCAAGCACUAUGAGACUCCCUCCUCUCCAUCUCCAAGGGUCAGGCCAUGGGCCCUUUCUAUGCUCGUUAACUGAUGCUGCAGCCUGACUUCUUCAAGACUAAGUUGGGCUGUAUGCUUGCAGUCAUGGGAGGAAAACAAAAGAGGAUGAGGAACUUGGACUCAGCUAGCUUUGGCGACUUGUUGAGAAAGUCAGAACCAGUUAGUUGUGGAAUAUAAAAUUGAGCUCGGCUCUCUUCCUACCUAGUCUUUUCUCUGCUCCGCUCCCACACUUCAGUGAGAGUUGCUUUCCUGAAGGAGUAAGUUCUAAAGCAGGAUUGGAAGUUCCUAUAGGGACAAAGAGAAGAGGCAUCCAUGAGUGGCAAGGAGUGUGAAAGGGAUGAAAAACACAUAGGAAGAAAUGGAGACAGGCAGAAGGUCCCAGCUACAGGACAGAAAAGCCAGGGUGUGGGCUUCUGAGAGAUGAUGCUGAGUGCAUGAGCUGGACUUGUGGAAUACAUACAGAAGAUGCCUCCAAUUACUGAGAGGUUAAGAAGAACAUUAUAUUGCCUCACAAAUCCUGUUUGUUACUGUAUAGAAUUGUAAGAAUUAUGGAAGAAACUGAAGGAAUUACUCCUCUAAAGCAGAUACUCCUGGAAAGUUACACAACUUGGCUAAUACUCUCCUGCUAGAGUUGGACAGGAAGACCUUACCAAAGCUGAAAGAUAAGAGAAACAUUUGUUUGGGCUGAGGCAGCUGUUUCAUGAAAUGCAACAUCAUAUCUCAUUUUUCUUCAUGAACUUCUCUCAUUUAACAAUUAGGCUGGAAGAACACACAUUACCAAUAGGUUCAGUCGUAUAACACUCAGAACCUGGAAAUAAUGAGUUGGAAGUUUCAGAUCCUACAAAAUAAAUCAGUUACUCCAUCAAUUCUAUAAUAUAAGGCAAAGAAUCUGAAAAUUGAAGGAAGAUAUUUUGAACAACACUGUGCAAAAGCUAUUGCUGAGUUAGGUAUUCAGUUAAGCCAAACACCACGC